rnacentral:rRNA from 1 species
UAACUGAAGAGUUUGAUCCUGGCUCAGAUUGAACGCUGGCGGCACGCUUUACACAUGCAAGUCGAGCGGCAGCGCAGGGGUGCUUGCACCCCUGGCGGCGAGCGGCGGACGGGUGAGUAAUGCAUGGGAACAUACCCAACAGUGGGGGAUAACCCUGGGAAACCAGGACUAAUACCGCAUAAUCUCUACGGAGGAAAACGGGGGAUCGGCUUGCCGGCCUCGUGCUGAUGGAGUGGCCCAUGUCCGAUUAGCUUGUUGGCGGGGUAACAGCCCACCAAGGCGACGAUCGGUAGCUGGUCUGAGAGGAUGAUCAGCCACACCGGGACUGAGACACGGCCCGGACUCCUACGGGAGGCAGCAGUGGGGAAUAUUGGACAAUGGGGGCAACCCUGAUCCAGCGAUGCCGCGUGAGUGAAGAAGGCCUUCGGGUUGUAAAGCUCUUUCGCAAGGGAAGAAACGGCGAGAGUUAAUACCUUUCGUCACUGACGGUACCUUGAGAAGAAGCACCGGCUAACUACGUGCCAGCAGCCGCGGUAAUACGUGGGGUGCAAGCGUUAAUCGGAAUUACUGGGCGUAAAGCGUGCGUAGGCGGCUAUGCAAGUCAGAUGUGAAAGCCCCGGGCUCAACCUGGGAACUGCGUUUGAAACUGCAUGGCUAGAGUUCGGCAGAGGAAGGUGAAAUUCCGUGUGUAGCGGUGAAAUGCGUAGAGAUACGGAAGAACACUAAUGGCGAAGGCAUCCUUCUGGGCCGAUACUGACGCUGAGUCACGAAAGCGUGGGGAGCAAACAGGAUUAGAUACCCUGGUAGUCCACGCCCUAAACGAUGCCCGCUAGCCGUUGGGAGGCAACUCUCAGUGGCGAAGCUAACGCGUUAAGCGGGCCGCCUGGGGAAUACGGUCGCAAGAUUAAAACUCAAAGGAAUUGACGGGGACCCGCACAAGCGGUGGAUGAUGUGGUUUAAUUCGAUGCAACGCGAAAAACCUUACCUGCUCUUGACAUGUUCGGAAUCCUGCAGAGAUGCGGGAGUGCCUUCGGGAACCGGAACACAGGUGCUGCAUGGCUGUCGUCAGCUCGUGUCGUGAGAUGUUGGGUUAAGUCCCGCAACGAGCGCAACCCUUGUCGUUAGUUGCCAUCAGGUUAUGCUGGGCACUUUAACGAAACAGCCGGUGACAAGCCGGAGGAAGGUGGGGACGACGUCAAGUCAUCAUGGCCCUUACGAGCAGGGCUACACACGUCAUACAAUGGUCGGUACAAUGGGUAGCCAACCCGCGAGGGGGAGCCAAUCUCAAAAAGCCGAUCGUAGUCCGGAUUGUAGUCUGCAACUCGACUGCAUGAAGUCGGAAUCGCUAGUAAUCGCGAAUCAGCAUGUCGCGGUGAAUACGUUCCCGGGUCUUGUACACACCGCCCGUCACACCAUGGAAGUGGAGGAUACCAGAAGCAGGUAGUUUAACCCGCAAGGGAGAACGCUUACCAAGGUAUGUUCCAUGACUGGGGUGAAGUCGUAACAAGGUAGCCGUAGGAGAACCUGCGGCUGGAUCACCUCCUUU